ACAAAGAAAUCAGAAAUUAGAAUGUAUUGGAUACCCAAACACAAAAAGAUAAUUACUACUAGAAAAAUUUCACAACUAUCAGCUUGAAUAAAAUUUUUUAAAAAGUGGGAGAGGUAGACAAAUGAGGUAAUUAAGCUUAGGUCAAAUCAAUCACAGAGAGAACUGUCUACAUUAUGGUUUAUUAAGUAUAAUAGGUAUUAAACCCUUGAAUUAUCUAAACCCCUCCCACUUUAGUUCCAGAUUACUAAAAAUUUCCCAAUUAAAACCAGCCACUCAAUGCUAGCAAUUUUUUAACCUUUUAGGAGGAUUCAGGACCCAUAUUUGUUAGUUGUUUCAUAUCCCCUUGGGCUUGAGUAUUAAUUACCAAGACACUUCUUAAAUGAUAUGUGGUCCCCAGUAAUUAUACUGUGCUUGAGAAUUCAUGUAUUA